rnacentral:RNase_P_RNA from 1 species
GGAGCGGGCGAAGGCGAUCGCCUGCAUGUUGUUGGUGCGCGUAAGCGAUACACAUGUGCAGGAGGAAAGUCCGAACUGGAUAGGGCACGGUGGUUGGUAACGCCAACCCGGCGCGAGCCGCGGGAAAGUGCCACAGAAAAGACACCGCCUGCGAAUGGCUGGAACACGCAAGAUUCGAAACGUCGAGACGAACCGUUUUGAUGCUUCGAUGUUGCGGCGACUUCGUAGGUAAGGGUGAAAUGGUGCGGUAAGAGCGCACCGCGCGGUCGGUGACGACCGCGGCAGGGUAAACCCCACCGCCAGCAAGCCCAAGUAAGCAGCGAGAGGCGGCCCGCCUCGCGAAUCCCCGAAAGGGGAUUCUUAAACUGCGGGUAGGGUGCUCGAGCCGGCGGGCGACCGUCGGCCUAGAUAAAUGAUCGCCCAAUCGCAUUAUGCGAUGGACAGAAUUCGGCUUAUCCGCCCGCUCCACCU